UACGUAGGUGGCAAGCGUUGUCCGGAUUUACUGGGCGUAAAGAGCGCGCAGGCGGUCGUUUAAGUCGAAUGUGAAAGCCCCCGGCUCAACUGGGGAGGGUCAUUCGAUACUGAUCGACUUGAAGGCAGGAGAGAGAAGUGGAAUUCCCGGUGUAGUGGUGAAAUGCGUAGAUAUCGGGAGGAACACCAGUGGCGAAGGCGGUUGCCUGGGGCUUUGCUGACGCUGAUGCGCGAAAGCGUGGGGAGCGAUCCGG
rnacentral:rRNA from 1 species